rnacentral:rRNA from 1 species
GACGAACGCUGGCGGCGUGCUUAACACAUGCAAGUCGAACGGAAAGGCCCUGCUUUUGUGGGGUGCUCGAGUGGCGAACGGGUGAGUAACACGUGAGUAACCUGCCCUUGACUUUGGGAUAACUUCAGGAAACUGGGGCUAAUACCGGAUAGGAGCUCCUGCUGCAUGGUGGGGGUUGGAAAGUUUCGGCGGUUGGGGAUGGACUCGCGGCUUAUCAGCUUGUUGGUGGGGUAGUGGCUUACCAAGGCUUUGACGGGUAGCCGGCCUGAGAGGGUGACCGGCCCCAUUGGGACUGAGAUACGGCCCAGACUCCUACGGGAGGCAGCAGUGGGGAAUAUUGCACAAUGGGCGGAAGCCUGAUGCAGCAACGCCGCGUGCGGGAUGACUGCCUUCGGGUUGUAAACCGCUUUCGCCUGUGACGAAGCGUGAGUGACGGUAAUGGGUAAAGAAGCACCGGCUAACUACGUG